CUUAGUUAAAGGAAAUUUUUAUAAAUGUGGUGCAUAAGUUAUAAUUGGUGAGUUAAGUGUAUUUAUAUGAGCCACAUGAAUUUUAAAUUAUGCAUGAAGUCAUGAAUUUUAUCUAAAUUUGAUAGUACAUGUAACACCCCGUACUUUUCCCUAUGUUGUGAGAUAGUGUCUUAACACUAUUGAGAGUACUGAUAUGUCAGAGAGAUUGACUGUCAUAUUAAGAAAAUAGGAAUAAUGAGUUGGAAAUAGAGUCGAGAAAGAAAGAGUGAAAAACCUUGAAAAAAAAAAUAAAAAUCGGUCGGAGAGACGUCUAGUUUGUCUGUGUUUACCGACUGCUUUGACGUAAUAUUAUGUGAAAUUACGUGACUG
rnacentral:lncRNA from 1 species